rnacentral:misc_RNA from 1 species
UUAGCGAAUAACAACCUUCCUGCUGACAUACAGAAGUUGCGAUGCCGUGCUUGUUAUGAAGCCUUGCGGUUUGCACCUCAAAUUGAAGCUAUGGGAAAGCUUUUGGUGGAUCGUAUGAGAUCUUAUGGUCCUUACAUUGCUCUACAUUUACGGUAUGAGAAGGAUAUGCUCUCAUUCAGUGGAUGCACACAUGAUUUGUCUCCUGCCGAAGCUGAUGAGCUAAGGAUGAUUAGGGAGAACACAUCUUACUGGAAAGUAAAAAACAUCGAUCCUAAGGAACAAAGAUCCAAGGGGUAUUGCCCCCUAACUCCAAAAGAGGUUGGAAUUUUUCUAAACGCUCUUGGAUACCCAUCAAAUACUCCUAUAUACAUAGCUGCGGGUGACAUUUAUGGGGGUGAAUCUCACAUGUCUGAUCUCCAACUGCGAUAUCCCUUGUUAAUGAGGAAGGAAUUUUUGGCAUCUUCUAAGGAGCUUGAACCUUUUGUCCAUCAUGCAUCUCAAAUGGCUGCUCUGGACUACAUUGUAUCUGUUGAAAGUGAUGUAUUUAUAUCCUCAUAUUCUGGAAACAUGGCUAGGGCAGUUGAAG